ensembl:lncRNA
GGUAGGUUUAAUGUCCAGGCAUGAUUCUAAAUUGAAGAUCCAAAGAACAGAUGAGGCUGAGGCCAUGUGGAUUAAGGGAACUGAAGACAUCUGAAGAAGCCACUGGAGAUACUUUACUGCAAGGCUCCAACAAUGUCCCUAAGAGGCUUCAUCUUGGCCGAGAAUCUUCCAUUAAAAGCUGUUGGUUGGAUGAGUGGCAGCUUCCGAGCAAAGUUUCUGAGACGUAGAUCUGGCCAUCGUCUGUAAGAUGCACUGCAAUAGGCUGCUGCCAAGAGGAAAUGAAUAGUGUCUUUUGAGAUAUUCACAGACAUCCGGUACGGACUGGGGAGCUUGCUUUGAGAGCCAGCAUUUAGUCUAUUUUCUGUAUUUGAACCAUUCUGGACAAAGGCUGCCCCCAACGCUGUGACAGGGCCUUCCCGCACACCAGAUGCAGGACAGCUCUUCCUCCCCGCUCUCUGCAAACACUUGUCCUCAUCCUCCCAUCCUGCUCCUGCUGGUUUCUUGCUCUGGCACCUGGGCGAGUAUGCAGGUGUGCGGCGGGUGUUGUGCCCUCAGCCUCUGCUCCCUACUCAGCACAGGGGACAUCCCAGGACAGGGAAGAAUCUGCUCUAUGACGAGGUGUAAACACCCCGUGGUGCAGCAGUUUCCCGGCCAGCUGUCCUCCUGCAGACCCACCAUGGAAAAGAAUGAGCCCUUGCGCCAACCCUCACACCUCAUGUGUGUGCUGGACAUUCUACAAAAGUUUUGCAGGCCACUCUCACA